rnacentral:tRNA from 2 species
GGGUCUGUGGCGCAAUGGACAGCGUGACACGUUUCGAGCGUGAGGGUUGCGGGUUCGAGUCCUGCCAGACCUG